rnacentral:rRNA from 1 species
UACGGAGGAUGCAAGCGUUGUCCGGAAUUAUUGGGCGUAAAGCGUCCGCAGGUGGCCUUGUAAGUCUGCUGUCAAAGCGUCUGGCUCAACCAGAUAAAGGCAGUGGAAACUACAUAGCUAGAGUAAGGUAGGGGUAGAGGGAAUUCCUGGUGUAGCGGUGAAAUGCGCAGAUAUCAGGAGGAACACCGGUGGCGAAGGCGGGUCUCUGGGCCGAUACUGACGCUGAGGAGCGAAAGCGUGGGGAGCGAACAGG